rfam:Glycine soja cultivar W05 scaffold2114_11, whole genome shotgun sequence.
UUCUUGUUAGAUGAUGAUGAUGAUGACUCUCACGGUCAUAUAUUGAUCAAUGAAAACAACAAUGUAUUUCAUCUUUCAUGGUGGAGUUGACACAUGACACGUGACAAUUAUCAUUC